UCAGAAGCCAAACAGGGUCGGGCCUGGUUAGUACUUGGACGGGAGACCGCCUGGGAAUACCAGGUGCUGUAAGCUU
rnacentral:rRNA from 1 species